AGUGAACGCUGGCGGCAGGCCUAAUACAUGCAAGUCGAACGGCAGCACGGCAGAGCUUGCUCUGUGGGUGGCGAGUGGCGGACGGGUGAGGAAUACAUGGGAAUCUGCCCAGUCGUGGGGGAUAACGUAGGGAAACUUACGCUAAUACCGCAUGCGCCCUUCGGGGGAAAGCCGGGGACCUUCGGGCCUGGCGCGAUUGGAUGAGCCCAUGUCGGAUUAGCUAGUUGGCGGGGUAAUGGCCCACCAAGGCGACGAUCCGUAGCUGGUCUGAGAGGAUGAUCAGCCACACUGGAACUGAGACACGGUCCAGACUCCUACGGGAGCAGCAGUAGGGAAUAUUGGAACAAUGGGCCAAGCCUGAUCCAGCCAUGCCGCGUGAGUGAAGAAGGCCCUCGGGUUGUAAAAGCUCUUUUGUCCGGAAAAGAAAAGCGACCGGGUUAAUACCCUGGUGUCCUGACGGUACGGAAGAAUAAGCAACCGGCUAACGUACGUGCCAGCCGCGAACCGG
rnacentral:rRNA from 1 species